CCCUUAGAUGUUCUGGGCCGCACGCGUGCUACACUGAGUGGAUCAGCGGGUCAGGUUGCGCGAAAGCGUUUCCUAAUCUUUAAAUCCGCUCGUGAUGGGGAUUGACGGUUGCAAUUUUCUGUCAUGAACGAGGAAUACCUUGUAAGCGCGGGCCAUCAUCCCGCGCUGAAUACGUCCCUGCCCUUUGUACACACCGCCCGUCGCUCCUACCGAUUGAAUGUUCCGGUGAGCUCUUCGGACUGCGCGGUCUGCAGUUUCUGCGUUCCGUGCGGAAAGUUGUGCAAACCUUAACAUUUAGAGGAAGGAGAAGUCGUAACA
rnacentral:rRNA from 1 species